UUGGCACCUCGAUGUCGGCUCAUCACAUCCUGGGGCUGAAGUAGGUCCCAAGGGUAUGGCUGUUCGCCAUUUAAAGUGGUACGCGAGCUGGGUUUAGAACGUCGUGAGACAGUUCGGUCCCUAUCUGCCGUGGGCGCUGGAGAAUUGAGGGGGGCUGCUCCUAGUACGAGAGGACCGGAGUGGACGCAUCACUGGUGUUCGGGUUGUCAUGCCAAUGGCACUGCCCGGUAGCUAAAUGCGGAAGAGAUAAGUGCUGAAAGCAUCUAAGCACGAAACUUGCCCCGAGAUGAGUUCUCCCUGAGACUUUAAGUCUCCUGAAGGAACGUUGAAGACGACGACGUUGAUAGGCCGGGUGUGUAAGCGCAGCGAUGCGUUGAGCUAACCGGUACUAAUGAACCGUGAGGCUUAACCUUACAACGCCGAAGCUGUU
rnacentral:rRNA from 1 species